rnacentral:rRNA from 1 species
AUCGUAACUCCUACGGGAGGCAGCAGUGGGGAAUAUUGCACAAUGGGCGGAAGCCUGAUGCAGCGACGCCGCGUGAGGGAUGACGGCCUUCGGGUUGUAAACCUCUUUCAGCAGGGACGAAGCGUAAGUGACGGUACCUGCAGAAGAAGCACCGGCUAACUAUGUGCCAGCAGCCGCGGUAAUACGUAGGGUGCGAGCGUUGUCCGGAAUUACUGGGCGUAAAGAGCUCGUAGGCGGUUUGUCACGUCGUCUGUGAAAUCCUAGGGCUUAACCCUGGACGUGCAGGCGAUACGGGCUGACUUGAGUACUACAGGGGAGACUGGAAUUUCUGGUGUAGCGGUGGAAUGCACAGAUAUCAGGAAGAACACCGAUGGCGAAGGCAGGUCUCUGGGUAGUAACUGACGCUGAGGAGCGAAAGCAUGGGUAGCGAACAGGAUUAGAAACCCUUGUAGUCCUAGAGC